AGGCCCGGCGGGAACGCCUUAGGGCGGAGGUUUGCUACAGGCGACGCUGCCGCCUCGCCGCCGUCACCGGCCGGGACCCUGCGAACUGUACUGCAUUCCUUAAUCUACUCAAGGUGACACCUAAGAUUAACCAUCACAGAUGGGGAUGAAGUCUGGAUUAGCGAGAUGUGCUGUUCCAUUUGGAAGUCAAGGUUGAUGCCACCUAAAUCGGUUCCUGCUGCAAGGAACUUGAUGACAUCCUCCUCUUUCAUUUGCAGAACAUUAAGGACUCCAGACAUUGUGAACAUUUUCCUGUAAGUUAUGAUGGC